rnacentral:misc_RNA from 1 species
UAAGCGAUGCAAUCAAAGAGUUACAUUCAGUCAGAAACAAUUUCAUGCAAGCUAGAAUGGGGCCAUCUUUGCAUCCAACAGCUGAAUGAAAUUCAAUGUCUCUUUAAGGCAACUGCAGUUUCAGCAAAUUUGUGGCUUUAAAUUACAAGAGCAAGGACUGUUGUGUUUCAUGUAGGCCAUAUAUAGUUAUCUGUGCUUUCUGUUUGGGCAUAAACAAAGAAUAAUUAGAUGGUUUUGUUGGUACGUUCA